AGGCUUAACACAUGCAAGUUGAACGGGAGUUUGCUAAGUGCUUGCACGGAGCAAUGAGAGUAGCGCACGUGGUGAGUAACACGUGGGAACAUGCCUUUUGGUGGGGACAACAGAGGAAACUUCUGCUAAUACCGCAUAAGCCCGUAAGGGGGAAAGAUUAAUUGCCGAAAGAUUGGCCCGCGGAAGAUUAGGUAGUUGGUGGGGUAAAGGCCUACCAAGCCGACGAUCUAUAGCUGGUCUGAGAGGACGAACAGCCACAUUGGAACUGAGACACGGUCCAGACUCCUACGGGAGGCAGCAGUGAGGAAUAUUGGGCAAUGGAGGAAGCUCUCGACCCAGCCAUGCCGCGUGAGUGAAGAAGGUUUUCGAAUUGUAAAGCCCUUUCGGAUACGAGGAUGAUGACGGUAGUAUCUAAAGAAGCCCCGGCAAACUUCGUGCCAGCCGCCGC
rnacentral:rRNA from 1 species